GAUGAACGCUGGCGGCGUGCCUAAUACAUGCAAGUCGAGCGAACAGACGAGGCUCUUGCUCCUCUGUCGUUAGCGGCGGACGGGUGAGUAACACGUGGAUAACCUACCUAUAAUACUGGUAUAACUUCGGGAAACCGGAGCUUAUACCAGAUGAUAUAUUGCACCGCAUGGUUCAAUAGUUAAAGACGGUUUUGCUGUCACUUAUAGAUGCAUCCCCGCCGCAUUAGCUAGUUGGUAAUGUCAUAGCUUAUCAAGGCAACGAUGCGUAGACGACCUGUGAGAGUGAUCGCCCACACUGGAAGUGAGACGCGGUCAAGAGGCCUAAGGGAGGCAGCAGUAGGGAAUCUGAGGCAAGGGGCGAAAGCAUGACGGAGCAACGCCGAGUGAGUGAUGAAGAUCUUCGGAUCGUAAAACUCGGUUAUUAGGGAAGAACAGAUGUGGAAGGAAAUGUGCAGGUAGUGACGGUACCGGAUCAGAAAGCAACGGCUAACUACGUG
rnacentral:rRNA from 1 species